UCUAGCAGAUGCCUGAUGGAGCAGAACAGU
rnacentral:piRNA from 1 species